UGACCUCGGAUCAGGUAGGGAUACCCGCUGAACUUAAGCAUAUCAAUAAGCGGAGGAAAAGAAACCAACAGGGAUUGCCCUAGUAACGGCGAGUGAAGCGGCAACAGCUCAAAUUUGAAAUCUGGCUCUUUUAGGGUCCGAGUUGUAAUUUGCAGAGGGCGCUUUGGCGUUGGCAGCGGUUCAAGUUCCUUGGAACAGGACAUCACAGAGGGUGAGAAUCCCGUACGUGGUCGCUAACCUUCGCCGUGUAAAGCCCCUUCGACGAGUCGAGUUGUUUGGGAAUGCAGCUCUAAAUGGGAGGUAAAUUUCUUCUAAAGCUAAAUACUGGCCAGAGACCGAUAGCGCACAAGUAGAGUGAUCGAAAGAUGAAAAGCACUUUGGAAAGAGAGUCAAACAGCACGUGAAAUUGUUGAAAGGGAAGCGCUUGCAGCCAGACUUGCCUGUAGUUGCUCAUCCGGGCUUUUGCCCGGUGCACUCUUCUGCGGGCAGGCCAGCAUCAGUUUGGGCGGUUGGAUAAAGGUCUCUGUCAUGUACCUCUCUUCGGGGAGGCCUUAUAGGGGAGACGACAUGCAACCAGCCUGGACUGAGGUCCGCGCAUUCGCUAGGAUGCUGGCGUAAUGGCUGUAAGCGGCCCGUCUUGAAACACGGACCAAGGAGUCUAACAUCUAUGCGAGUGUUUGGGUGUCAAGCCCGAGCGCGUAAUGAAAGUGAACGGAGGUGGGACCCCAUUAGGGUGCACCAUCGACCGAUCCUGAUGUCUUCGGAUGGAUUUGAGUAAGAGCAUGGCUGUUGGGACCCGAAAGAUGGUGAACUAUGCUUGAAUAGGGUGAAGCCAGAGGAAACUCUGGUGGAGGCUCGCAGCGGUUCUGACGUGCAAAUCGAUCGUCAAAUUUGGGCAUAGGGGCGAAAGACUAAUCGAACUAUCUAGUAGCUGGUUCCUGCCGAAGUUUCCCUCAGGA
rnacentral:rRNA from 1 species